CAGAGGCAAGCAUAUCGAAGUGGUUGAACCCUCAAGAAUUGAAGAACCUGAAGAAGCUGUACAUCAUUGGAGGGAAACUGGCGAGCUGGGAUCACCAGCAACAGAAUGAGCAAUGGUCAGUUGAGAUAUUGCGGCUGAAACACCUUAAGGAAUUUAGGAUCGGAAACAAGGAAGAUGUGCUGAAAAAGUUUCCUCGGUUAGGAUACUUCGAGAGGAGCAAGUGUGGUGACGACGAUAUCGUGUGGUACAAGAGGAGGGUAGGUGAGAAAGGAUUUUGAACUGUUAUCGACAAGCCCAGGGGAGAAUGAACCGGAGUUCGUGCAGAAACUGUUAUUAUUUGAGAAGGGACGUAAUGACGGUAAGGCUCAUGUACCAAUACCGUAACAUGACAAAUGAAUAGUCCUUUGGUAUUGGAGCUUUAUCUGACUUCAUAGUUUGUCUAAUUUCCUUUGUAAUGACUUGCGGUGGUAAUACGAUUGCUACUCAUGAAGUUUGUUUGAGAUCUUGGGCUAUUUGAUUAGAGCACUAGUUACAGUUAUUAGCAGAGUUUCUUUUAAUUGCUGAAUCAUUUAUAUUAGUUAAGUUGUAGCCGAGUAGAAUGAGCCUUUGUGAGGCAAAAAUGUAAUGCAAUUUCAGUCUGAUGCCUGGGAAUGGAAAAGUACAAUAAAGUCACAUCCCCUGUUUGAGAACUCAUGUAUAUUCAGUUUAUGAAAACUCAUCAUAAGAGUGUUACAUGCUGCGCAUGAGAUUAAUCGAGGCAUGUGCUUUGGCUUUUUUGGCUUUUUUGGAUUCUCUCCCAAGCUCCCUUUGUUUUGCAAAAAGUGAUUGAUUAAAUAAUCAUUUGCAUCUUUUGAAAUAUAUUAGUUAUUUUUUAAAAAUUAUUGACAAUAAUUUAUGUUUAAAUAUUUUUAUGAAUAAUGAAAAUAUUUUUCGUUCAUUCAUUUUUCUGUGCAAUACAAGUGAUUAUUUUUAAUAAUUUUUUUAAAAUCAUUCAUGCAUCCUUAAUUUUCUCCAAAUUUCUUGAAGAGUUACCUCUUAACAUGCAAUUCUGUUUUUUCGUAUGGUAAAAACAAUGUUGUGAUAUAAUAUAUGGAAACUAUAGAAUCUUGUCAGUACUUAUAUGAGUCAGUUGCAAAUAAUCAAAAUUAUAAUUGGAGAAUCAAAAUUAUAAUCGUGCACAUGCUUAAGUAAUUUUUAAGCUCAAACUUAAAGUAUCUACAUAUAAUUUUUGCUCCGAGUUUUACAUUCGUAGGCCAAAAAGUCAAAAACUAUUCUUCUGAUUUUCGUACGGCGGCUCCUUCGUCCUCACUGCGCGGCUCUUCUAUUAUUGUGUCGCUUGUCGGCCUGUGCGGCUCCCUUUCUCUUAGAGAAGACCCACCGUUCGGCUACAGCAAGCAGAAAAAAGAAAACUUUGCACUUUUUGUUGGCCAAAGACCUUUUUGCCCCAUAAAUAAAUAGAUAUAAUAAAAGAAAAUACACCUUUAUUUUGUCUUUUAGCGAAAGGGCUCUUCACCAUAAAAUUUUGAAGACUUAUUAAACCCGACGAGACAUAAUUUAACAGACAAAGCAAUUUCAUUUUAUGAGAAGUCUUGAUUCCUUCAUCCUAAGAAAAGCACCUAAUUUUCUCAGAGAUUGGGUUGUUUGAUAAAUUGGGUUGUUUGAUAAAUGUUUUAAGUAAAUUUUCAUAAUUGGUAAAAUAUCUAUUAAUGUUUUGAGAGAUGUGAGACGAGUCUUGUCAUCGGGAUAGAAGGAACAUCGAAAUUUCCAAAGUGAUUUCACGGGAAUGCAAAAAGCUUAGCAAAAAAUGAAAUUAAUAGAGCAAAAUAAAGAAUAUGUUCAAGAAAUAUAAAAUUACUUCCUUCGUGUAGAGGUUAUUGCCUUCCCUUGUCCCACUUCCCACUCUCAAUUUAUUCCCUCUUCUCUCCUUUUUGGGUCCUUUUCUUUGGUAAAUAGGGGAAAGCCAUUACCUUUUGACACGAUCAGAAAUCUUUAAUUUGAACCCAAUCAAACAAAUAGCCCAGUCCCCUGCUUUUGUUGAUAAUGAAAGGUACCGAUGACAUUCUGUUUCGUUUUUUUCCCAUAGUUCUUCUUUGCCUAUGGUCUUCAAUGCCGGUGAUCAUCAAAUGCCAAAUUCUCUUUGCCAAUCCUGGCAAGUGUCUUGCGUAAAGCUUCUCCAUCUACUAUUUACAAUGGCAAUUUAUUAAGGGUGCAUGACAAACUAGAAUUUCUGUUCUAGAAACAAUUUUUCUAUUAUAGAUUUGUUUCUGGAAUAAAAAUCUGUUUAAUAAAAUUAUUUCAUUUUUAUUUUUUUUUUGAAAUAGAUUUUAAAUAGAUUUUUUUUUCUAAAAAUAAGUUUGGAAUAGAAAUCAUAAAUAAAAAAUUUAUACUUUUAUAUUUCUAGAAUAGAAAUGAUAACUAAAUUUUUUUUUCAUCCUUUAUCCUUACUAUGAACUGGUUGUCCAUCUGUCACUGUCGACCACCGUCCGUCGAUGGUGCCGCCGCCGCCGUCCACAAUCCCGAUCGCUGCCUGCCCGCCUCCGCCGCCGCCGCUGGAAAGGGAAAAUUUUUGUAUCGUUAUCAAAUGAAUUUCUAUUUUAAGAAUAGAAAUUGUGUGUUGUUAUCAAAUGUGUAUUUUUAUUUAGAAACUCAUCUAGAAAUAGAAAAUAAAAAAAUUUAUUUCUCUUUUAGAAAUCAAUUUUUGAUCACCAUAUACGUAAGAAUUUCUUUUUUAACUUAGUCAAAGAAUGGGUCCCAAGGAAAAAAGAAAAGAAAAGAGAGACAAAAAAUAAAAUGAAAAGAAAGUGGAUGUUCAGCCAUUAAAGGAAAAAGCACACGCAGGGGAUGGAAAGAGAAGAGAGUGGAAAGAAAGAAAAGAGAGAGAAGAUGAAGAAGAAGAAAGAAAGAAAGGGAUUCCUUGUACAUGAUCUGGACAAUCCGACAAGCUGACUCAACUCUGAAUUGCGAGGCCGGUAAGGAUUCAAGCCCUUCGUAGUUGUAAUCUGAAUAAUUUUCGGAAUUGGGGCUUAAAUUCGGAAUCGGGUGAAAUUUGAGUUGCAAAGUCCGAUUUUGGAGUUGUUAAGCUGAGAAAUUAUGGGGUUUUGAUAGUUUAAGGUGUUGUGGAGUUAUAGCAUUUGACGGAAUUCGAUUUGAGCUUACGGUUUGUCCAAAAAGAAUUUUCGAAGUUUCGGCACAUGAUGAACAGUGUAUGUCUAACGAUUUUUGAGCCGAAUUUUGUUGGCUUUCGCCUCAAUUUUAGGUCAGUCAAGUCUUCUAGUGUUUGGAAAGAUCUUUCUUUUCACCGUAAGCUUGUUUGGAAUGGGUGUAGGUGAGAGAUUUAUGGCAUGAUCAAGCUAUGUGCUCAAGUCCCGUGUUGCGAACAGCUUUAAAUAAUUGCUUUGGACGAGCGAUUUGUGGGCAACUUUGAGUCGUUUUAUUAGCAUUUAAGCUUAAUUUAGUCAAUUCGUAAUUGAUGUAGUGUUUUACUCUAUUUUAAUGUUGUGGCUCGCUUAUUUAGUAGGAUUGCAAGUUCAAAUGGUUGAAGUAUUCUAUGUUGUUUUGUUAUAGGUAUUUCAGGUGAGUGGUGUUAUCUCGAAAGGUUACAAUAUUAGUUUAUGAAGAAUUCUGAAAUGAUGUGAGAAAUGUAUUGUGAAAUGUGUUUAGUUUGAUCAACAAAAUUUAGAAAGAUUAUGUAUUUUGUUUUGUGAAAUCAAUUGCUGAUAUUGAUUUUGGAUUUGACUGUUGGUAUUGGAAGAUGUGGAUUUAAUGCUCUAUAUCGCUUUUAACCCAUCGAUGGGUUUGUAGGUAUGCAUUUCAAUUUAAGAUAUUCUUAUGAGCCGAGCCACCAGCUUUGUAGGUGGAAACCUUGCCAUCACCUUGUCACCAAACGUUGUAUCGUAAUCAUAGUUUGAUAUUAAGUAAAAGAUUGGUCAAUGGAUGGAAUAUUGACGUGUGUUUUGAUAUAAGAUAGAUCAAUAGAUUGGACCAUUGGUGCGUGAUUUUGAUGAGAUUGAUAAAUGGAUUUGACCAUUCAUAUUUAUGAUGAUUUAGAUGAGCAUUUUUUGAAUUAUGUAAAACUUAUUGAAAUGAAACGAGUCAUGCAUGAUUUUGUUAUGUAUAUUAGAGAGUUGGAUCAUGAAUUUUCCAGUGGUGCUCGACUAUGCAUAAAAGAGAUUUAUUACUGAUUGAGUUAUGGUUGCUCACCCCCUCUUUCUUAUUCUUUUCAGAUCCUUCGAUUAGUAGGUGUUAAAGUGAGAGUGUUACCAUGGGAACUUUUGGGAGUUAGAUUUUGGUGGUUUGAAUCUGCGUCCUUCAUAGUGUCAUCUCCUUUUCUGUUAGGAUUCGGGGUGUGACAAUAUCUUGAAUCCUAGUACUAGAUAGAUCAUUUCAUCAUAGUAAUGGAAAAGUCUCAGGAUGAAUCCAUGUCUGGUGACACGAAAGAUACCUGGGAAGAGAUCAUGCAGGCUAUAUGCAACAACCUGGAUAACAACCUGUCCGAAGACAAGCUCGACAAGUUAGAGGCCCUUGUAAAAAGAUACAGGAUGGUGAAAUCAUCCUCGAAACAUCGACAGAAUCACAGGGAAGUUCCACUUCCGAUAAUCUCCGGAGAAUGGCGUGAGCGGGCUGAAGAAAGCAAGAAGCUUCUUACGACGAAACUUCAGCCUAGUGAAAGCAACCUCUGCCUUCUUUCUUUGGCGAUUUUCCCUGAAAAUUCGAUUAUAAAGAAAAGAAGUUUAAUAUAUUGGUGGAUAGGACAGGACUUAGUUUCCCAAAGAGGACAGAAGACGGCAGAGCAAGUAGGUGAAGAAGUCUACAAUGAGCUCCUACAACAAGGCCUAAUUGAACCCGACAACGAUGCAAGCCCUCUCAUGAAUAGAUGUAAAAUGCAUCCAUUGAUCCGUUACAGGCUUAUCUCGGAGGCAGAAGAAGCAGGGCUCUUCUAUUUUGAGUCGAAGGAUAAAACUUCUCAUGAGGAUCUCAAAAAUUUAAGCAGCAGCCGCCUGCGCUUAAUAGUAGGUGGAGAAGACAGUCCACAAUAUGAAAAACUAGCCAAAGAUGAACAUGUACACACGGUGUUCAAUGUCAAUCAGCAAUACCUUAAACUCCAAUCCCGUUUGCUUUUGAACAUGAAACAAUUGGCAGUUCUUCAACUAGGACGAUGGCAGCACUCGCCAAAUUAUCAUAUUGAAGUUGAUGAUCAGAAAUUCUUGGAUGAUCUUGGGGUUCAUCACAAGCAUUUGAAGUUCCUAAGCCUUCGAGGAAUUUCUAGGAUCACAGCUCUUCCUGAUUCUAUUGUAGAACUAGUCAGCCUGGAGAUUCUUGACCUCCGAGCAUGCCACAAUUUGGAGAAGUUGCCUGAGGAUAUAGCAUCUUUGAAGAAGCUAACGCAUCUGGAUGUAUCGGAGUGUUACCUUAUAGAGCGCAUGCCGAAAGGAACGGAGAAACUGUCCUCCCUCCAGGUCUUAAAGGGGUUUGUUUUAGGGACUGCGAGGAAAAAUCCUUGCAGGAUCAGCGAUUUGGGAAAAUUGAAGGAAUUGAGAAGGCUAAGUAUAUACAUAGGCCGUGGAGCAGCCAUAGGGGAUGGAGAAUUUGCAUCGUUGAAGGGCAUUGCAUCCCUUUGCUCCCUAACCAUCUCUUGGGGAGUCACUUCUCUGGUGUCGCAAUCAAGUCUUCUGAUAAAUCAGUUUCUUCCAGAACAAUUGGAGAAACUAGAGCUCAUAGGAAUGCCAGAAAAAAGCACACCAAAGUGGUUGAACCCUCAAGAGUUGAAGAACCUGAAGAAGCUGUACAUCAUUGGAGGGGAACUGGCAAGCUGGGAUCACCAGCAACAGAAUGAGCAAUGGUCAGUUGAGAUAUUGCGGCUGAAACACCUCAAGAAUUUGAGCAUCGGAAACAAGGAAGAUGUGCUGAAAAGGUUUCCUCGGUUAGGAUACUUCGAGAAAAAAAAUUGUGCUGACAAUGAUAUCUCGU
rnacentral:lncRNA from 1 species